GUUUUUCAGCUGAACACUGAGAGACAACAUCCCACAUACCGAGGAAACCAGGAUCCAGAUAGACAAACUGCUGGAGGAAAAUCAUUCAUCUGACAGCAAAGAUGCAGUGGAGUCUGAUUCUGCUCUUCCUGAUGGCUCAGUGUUGUUUCAUUGACUGUCAGCUCUAUAAGUAUC